rnacentral:rRNA from 1 species
ACAUGUCUACAAUAUAGCUUUAAUGCAUCGGAUCUCAUUAGAACUUUGCAGUUAAGCGUGCUCAAGCUAGAGUAGUACUGGGAUGGGUGACCACCCUGGAAGUACUAGUGUUUUACAUGCC